AAAAGAACUUUGAAGAGAGAGUUCAAGAGGACGUGAAACCAUUAGUGGCAAAGCGGAUAGAGUUGAUGAAGCUGGUGGCAUUCAUCGAUGCGUGUGUGCUUCGCUUCGGCGUUGUGCCUCGCUUCGUGCAUUUGCCUGCGGCAUACGCUGAGGCGGUCGGUUGCCCCUUCUGAAGCAUUUGGCGUUGCCCACUCUCGAGUGGUGUCUUGUCAUGUGCGGAGGUUGUUUGUGGUGGCUGGCCGUGCGAAAGCGCGGAUCCUGCAUUAGCGCGGUUUUCUGCUAGCGUUACGUCCUGCUUCGGCGGUGGCUUGCCACCUGUCGUUGCUGUGGCGUCCGUGGGCGGCCUUCUGCUCUAUUNGGGUUCGUUCUCGGUGUGAAAAGUCGACCACCUAUCCGACCCGUCUUGAAACACGGACCAAGAAGUGUAGUAUUUGCGCGAGUCAUUGGGUGUUAAACCUAUUGGCGUAAUGAAAGUAAAGCUGGCUUUUUGUCAGUGAUAUGUGAUCCGUGUGGCUUCGGCUGUCCGGCGCAACAUAGCCCCAUGUCGUCUGCUUGCAGUGAUGUGGAGGUAGAGCGCAAAUACUGCGACCCGAAAGAUGGUGAACUAUGCCCGAGCAGGAUGAAGCCAGAGGAAACUCUGGUGGAAGUCCGAAGCGGUUCUGACGUGCAAAUCGAUCGUCUGACUUGGGUAUAGGGGCGAAAGACUAAUCGAACCAUC
rnacentral:rRNA from 1 species